rnacentral:rRNA from 1 species
GAUGAACGCUGGCGGCGUGCUUAAUACAUGCAAGUCGAGCGAACAGACGAGGAGCUUGCUCCUCUCACGUUAGCGGCGGACGUGUGUGUCACACGUGUAUAAUCUACUUAUAUGUCUGGUAUCACUUCGGGAAACCGGAUCUUACACCGGAGAAUCUACUGAACCGCAUGGUUCAAUAGUGAAAUACGGUUUUGCUGUCUCUUAUCGCUGGAUCCGCGCCGCAUUAGCUAGUUGGUAAGUUAACAGCUUAUCAAGGCAACGAUGCGUGGCCGACCUGAGGGAGUGGUAGGCCGCACUAGAGGGUGAACAGGGACAAGGGUCCUGCGAGAGGCAGCAGUAGGGAAUCGUCCGCAAUAGGCGGAAGCCUGACGGAGCGAGGCCGCGUGAGUGAUGGAGGUCUUCGGAUCGUAAUGCUCUGUUAUUGGGGAAGAACAAAUGUGUAAGUAACUGUAGACGUAGUGACGGUACCUAGUAAGGAAGCAACGGCUAACUACGUG